rnacentral:rRNA from 1 species
UACGUAGGUGGCAAGCGUUGUCCGGAUUUACUUGGCGUAAAGGGCGCGUAGGCGGUCAGCACAAGUCAGUUGUGAAAUCUCCGGGCUUAACUCGGAAAGGUCAACUGAUACUGUGCGUCUAGAGUGCGGAAGGGGCAACUGGAAUUCUCGGUGUAGCGGUGAAAUGCGCAGAUAUCAGGAGGAACACCGGUGGCGAAGGCGGGUCUCUGGGCAGUAACUGACGCUGAGGAGCGAAAGCGUGGGGAGCGAACAGG